UCUGGUUGAUCCUGCCAGUAGUGAUAUGCUUGUUUCAAAGAUUAAGCCAUGCAUGUCUAAGUAUAAGCGAACUUAUACAGUGAAACUGCGGAUGGCUCAUUAAAACAGUUUGAAUUUAUUUGAUGAAUGUAUGAGAAUAUUACUUGGAUAACCGUAGUAAUUCUAGAGCUAAUACAUGCAACGACGCCCGACCGUUUCACUACGGAAGGGCUGUAUUUAUUGGAUACCAAAACCAUCCUUCCCUCGGGAAGUUUUGUUUGAUGAUUCACAAUAACUGAUCGGAUCGCCACUGUGGUGGCGACAGGUCAUUCAACAUUCUGCCCUAUCAGCUUUCGAUGGUUGUGUAGUGGACAACCAUGGCCAUAACGGGUAACGGAGAAUCAGGGUUCGAUUCCGGAGAAGGAGCUUGAGAAUUGGCUACUACAUCUAAGGAAGGCAGCAGGCGCGCAAAUUACCCAAUCCCGAUUCGGGGAGGUAGUGACAAAAAAUAACAAUACCGGGCCUUUUUGGGCUUGGUAAUUGGAAUGAGGGAGAGUUAAACGGACCAUCGAGUAUCCAUUGGAGGGCAAGUCUGGUGCCAGCAGCUGCGGUAAUACCAGCUCCAAUAGCGUAUAUUAAAGUUGUUGCAGUUAAAAAGCUCGUAGUUGGACUUGUGUGCGCUGUCCGCGGGUGGCCUGCGCCCAAAAGGGCGUUUCGGUUCGGCCCCGGUGGCGCCUUGAAAUCUGCAGCUGGGGGGACGUUGGCCUUAACUGGUCGGCGACCGCACGCCGGCUGCUCGGUUACUGUGAGAAAAUUAGAGUGUUCAAGGCAGGCAUUGGGUGCAAUUGAAUACAUUAGCAUGGAAUAAUAAAAUAUGGCUCCUGCCGUAUUUUGUUGGUUUUGACUGGUGGGAGUAAUGAUUGAUAGGGACGGUUGGGGGUGCUAGUAUUGAGCGGCCAGAGGUGAAAUUCAUGGAUUCGCUCAAGACUAACUUAUGCGAAAGCAUUCACCAAGGACGUCCUCUUUAAUCAAGAACGGAAGUUGGGGGAUCGAAGACGAUCAGAUACCGUCGUAGUCUCAACCAUAAACUAUGUCGACUUGGGAUCGGCGGUAGUUUUUUCAUUAAGACACUGUCGGGACCACGGGAGAAAUCAAAGUGUCUGGACUCUGGGGGAAGUAUGGUCGCAAGGCUGAAACUUGAAGGAAUUGACGGAAGGGCACCACCAGGAGUGGAGCCUGCG
rnacentral:rRNA from 1 species